rnacentral:rRNA from 1 species
CGAUCUCAGAGUAUACGACUCCUAAUGGAAGCUUAAAUGAAGGCCUCUGAGGGACGGGCCCGGGAUCCGAUUAUCUGGUUGAUCCUGGCAGAGGUCUCUGCUUUCGGGGUUCGAUUAAGCCAUGCGAGUCGAGAGGGUUCAGACCCUCGGCGGACUGCUCAGUAACACGUGGAUAAUCUGCCCUAUGGUGGAGGAUAACCCCGGGAAACUGGGGAUAUUACUUUAUAAGUCAGGAGUACUGGAAUGUCUCCUAACUGAAAGUUGCGGCGCCAUAGGAUGAAUCUGCGGCGGAGGAGGAAGUUGUUGGGGUAACGGCCCAACUAUUUUUGUUUUCGGGUACGGGGGGGGGCGCCCCCCCACCCCCGGAGAUGGAAUCUGAGACACGAUUCCAGGCCCUACGGGGGGGCAGCAGGGCGCGAAAAACUUUUCAAUGCAGGAAACUGUGAUAAGGGAACCCCGAGUGCCCGUAAACGCGGGCUGUCCCGGUGUUUAAAACACAUCGGAAGAAAGGGCCGGGCAAGACCGGUGCCAGCCCGCCCGCGGUAAUACCGGCGGCUUCGAGUGGUGGCCCACUUUUAAUUGGGCUUUAAACGGUUCGUACCUUGAUUUUAAGCCCUCUUGGGAAAAUCCCCCGGUCUUAACUGGGAGGCUCUUAGAAAUAUCGGGGACUCUGGGCCCGGCAGAGUAAAAGUUACUUCAGGGGUAAAUGAAAUUCUCGUACCUCUGAGGGUACCCCGAUGCGAGAGACUUCUUCACAAAAAGCUCUCUCCACGUG